rnacentral:lncRNA from 1 species
AUGUUAUUUAAUAACUUAAAAAUAUAUAAAGAUAAUAAAAUUCAUCACGAGUUCUGUUUUGCUUUAAAUGAUAAAAAACCAUUAACUAUUAACAGUUAUAUUGUACAUGCAGGAAAUACAUCUUAUACGUUAAAAUUAGAUUUUUUUCAAUCCGAAGAGUUAGUAUUCGAUAUAUAUACUACAUAUGUAAAUGUAAAUAAAAAUACAUUAAAACCACAAAAAGUUUUAAAAAUUAAUAAUAUACAAGAAAUACAAAUAUAUGACAAAAUAAAUGAAUUUGCAGGUUUACUUAAAUAUAUACAGACCUUAUUUAAUCAUAAAAAUAUUAGACUCAUGCAUAUAAAUCAAAGUGAUAUAAUAUUUUUAACCAACUACUUUAAAAAUAUAGAAAUAAAAAAAAAUCCUUGUACUAAUCAAAAUGUAAAUAAAAAUGUAAAUACAAAUGCAAAUACAAAUGCAAACACAAAUGCAAACACAAAUGCAAAUACAAAUGCAAAUACAAAUGCAAAUACAAAUGUAAAUACAAAUGUAAAUACGAAUAUAUAUGAAGAUAUGGAUUUUGGAAAUGUCGCUGAAAAAAAUAAAAUAAUUAACAAUUUUUCAAUAAUUGAAAAAAUAUUUAAUUAUAUAGAUCAUAACAAACAAAAUGUUGUAAAUGGUGUUGGUAAAGAAGAUGAAAAAAAUUCUGAACAAUGUACCACUACUACUACCACUACUACUACUACUACUACUACUUCUACUACUACUACUACUACUUCUACUGAUACCGAUAAGGAUGAAAAAGAUUUAUAUUUUCAUAUUGCUCAAAAUAAUUACUAUUGCAAAGACUCGUACAUAGAAUCAAAAUAUUUUAUUUCAUCCGAAUACCGUAAUAUACAUAAUUUUACAUUUGGAGGAUAUAUAGCUUAUUUAUCUUUUUGUCAUGCAAUGACUAUUAUAAAACAUUUUAUUGAUAAACCUAUUCUAAUCGAAAUAAACGACAUACAAUAUAUAUUACCUGUACCAUGUAAUUCAGUUGUUUCAUAUAGAGGAAAAGUAAUUUAUUCAAAUAAAAAAAAAUUCAAGUUUUAA